rnacentral:misc_RNA from 1 species
GAACUGCGAUAAGUAAUGUGAAUUGCAGAAUUCAGUGAAUCAUCGAGUCUUUGAACGCACAUUGCGCCCCCUGGCAUUCCGGGGGGCAUGCCUGUCCGAGCGUCAUUGCUGCCCUUCAAGCCCGGCUUGUGUGUUGGGUCGUCGUCCCCUCCGGGGGACGGGCCCGAAAGGCAGUGGCGGCACCGCGUCCGGUCCUCGAGCGUAUGGGGCUUUGUCACCCGCUCGAUAAGGACCGGCCGGGCGCCAGCCGGCGUCUCCAACCUUUUUUCUCAGGUUGACCUCGGAUCAGGUAGGGAUACCCGCUGAACUUAAGC